AGGUAAGGUAGAGAAUCUCUCUCUACUCCUGCCACAAAGAAGUGGCGAUGCUCAAUACAUGGCUGGGGUGAAAGGGAAGUUGAGCUCUCUGUGAGGCAAAUGGAGGGCAAAGCCCAACACCACUACAGAGGCUGUGACAAGGGGCUUCUGGGCUCUGUGUUCCCAGAGAAAAGCCAGGCAUAGAAUCACGUUUGAAAAGAGGAUGAUGGCCGGGCGUGGUGGCGCACGCCUUUAAUCCCAGCACGUGGGAGGCAGAGGCAGGCAGAUUUCUGAGUUCGAGGCCAGCCUGGUCUACAAAGUGAGUUCCAGGACAGCCAGGGAUAUACAGAGAAACCCUGUCUCGAAAAAAACAAACAAACAAAACAAGAAAAGAAAGAAAGAGAGAGAGAGAGAAAGAAAGGAAGGAAGAAAGAAAGAGAGAAAGAAAGAAAAGAAGGAAAAGAGAGUGACGGGUUAAACACCAAGAGCCUUCUGGAGAAAGAUAAUGCACUCUCUCUGUCUGUCUCUCUGUCUCUGUCUCUCUCUUUCUUCAAAACAGGGUUUCUCUGUGUAGCUCUGGCUGUCCUGGAGCUCACUCUAUGGACCAACCUGCUCUUGAACUCAGAGAUCUCCCAGUCUCUGCCUCCAAAGUCCUGGGAUCAAAGGCAUGUGCUACCACCACCAGGCAAAUGUUCCCAUUCUUACUCUAGGUUGAGUGAUGCCUCUCCAAAAAACUCUAGCCCCUGUCCGUUACCCAGGAACAUUCAUUCAGAGAAGCAUCCAGGCAUUCAUUUAUGACUAGUGUACAUUUUAAAUAUGUCCAUUGUACAUUCAUAGAAACGUUUACUCUUCAAAACAAAAAAGGUUUCCCGGGAGACAGGAGGCCGGAGGAAGAUGCAGCGUUGAGAUUCUGUGAGCUGGGUAGGAUGAGCUAAGAGGGUGAGAGGAUCACAGCCUCACAAGGAGGAAGCCACCCACAAGCUCCAC
rnacentral:lncRNA from 1 species